CCAAUCUUUGGGUAUUAUGCCCUCCUUCCAAAUUCUGUUAAAGAAACCAAGCAAUGACUGAAGGGAGGAACUGGGUAGAUGUUGUAUCAUACUGUAAUGGAUACUAUCUGGGCCUACUGCCGUGUGUUUACAACUGGAUAGCACAGUUUCCAAUUCGUGCAUCGUGAACUCGCAGUUGUAUUCAGCCCUAUCCUUGGACGCUAAGAGUUUCUUUCGCUCGGAUUUUUCUUUGUGCCUUAUAAAAUUGUCUGAGUACCCAGCAGAACUUGACACUUCAGAAAAGUGUUUACCCAAAAGAUCUGCUUGAUCUUUUAGUGAAGUGCUGCAUGAAUUAUUUGCCGUAAGAAGUGGAACAGUGAAAGCCCGAUUUUCACCAUCCAUUUUUCGUAUUUUCUCCCAAACAGCUUUUGCAGGAGUCUGGCUGUUUAUACUUGUGACAUACUUCUGCCAUGAAGAUUUCCUAGCUUGCUUUCUAGUGUAUCUAGCUUUCGCUUUUGCCCUUUUGAAUGAUAUCAGAUUGUCCAGUGUUGGAUAGCGUUUGAAAACGUUCCACGCCUUGUUCUGAGCCUGCCGCGUUUUACGACAUUCCUCAUUCCACCAAGGCUUUGGCCGUAGUCUUACCGUCCCACUGGUUUGUGGGAUGGCUGUCAUAGCUGCGUCGAGGAUAACCUUUGUGAUAGUAUGGUUUUCUUGGUCUACCGGUAGGUGUUUUGUCAUGUCACGAUUGAUUAUGGCAUGCUCUCUGAAGGCUGGCCAGUUCGCCUCUGACAGCUUCCAUCGUGGAGGACGUACUUGUAGAGUUGGAGGACUCACUAUCGUCUCCAGAAGAACCGGAAAGUGAUCGCUGCCAUACGGAUUUUGGAUGGCAUUCCAGGUAUAGUCUAGCGACAGCCCUGGAGAUGCAAGUGAUAGAUCAAUACAAGAAAAGUUCCUGUGUGUUGAGCUGUAAUACGUUGGACUACCAUCAUUCAAGAAAGAAAUGUCUGUGGUGUCUAAAAGUUGUUCGAUUAAUUUCCCACGUGCAUCUGUUCGCUCACUGCCCCAGAGUUGGUGGUGAGCAUUACGAUCUCCCAAUAUAAGGAACGGUUUUGGCAGCUGUUUGACUAAAUUGACAAGAUCACAAAAUGUAGGAUGGCUAUUUGGUGCCAUGUACAGGAAUACAACAGUGGUUAGAGUCUUGAGCUGCGCCCUAACAGCUACAGCUUCUAGGGGAGUGUUUAGUUUUACCUCUUCGACGAUUACACCAGAGUUCGCUCUUAUAGCUACACCUCCUCCAGCGUUGUUGUCCCUGUACUUGCGGAAGGUUGUGUAAUGUUUGAACAGUGUUGUUUGUCUUUUACUCAGCAUUGUUUCUUGCAAGGAGAACAAAUGCGGUCGAUGUCUGUCUAAUAAGUAGCAGAUAUCAUCAUAGUUAUGUAUGGCAUCACGACAGUUCCACUGUAGAAUGGAAACAGUCAUCAUACAUGAAAGUAAGAGAUGUUUAAAUCUGAAGGUUCUGUUUUGCAUGUUAUGUUGAACUGUCUUUUUUGGGUCCUGUAAUUCGUGGUUUCCUUCCUUUUUCAGGUAUUUGUCGUGGUUCUUUCGGUGUCAAAGUUAUGUUAGAGUUAUGUUGUGUGCCUGUGUGCCCAGACGUGCUAGGACUUGUCUCCAUAGCCUCCUCCGUUGGCACACAACCGAAGGGGGAUCGAUCAGGCGGGUUUCCUGGUCGCUGUGAUUCUCUGGCUGGCGCGGAAUAUGUCCGCGCCUGGGGGGCAACUGGUGUCCCACUGGACUCUCGGGGAGUCACUGUGGGUGGUGUACUCAGGCCUGCUGUUGCCCCCUGGCGCACAGCCUGAGCAUAAGGGGUACUCUUGAAGAAGGAUACCCUUCUUCGAGCUUCAGGGAAAGAAAUGUUCUCUUUGAUUUUCAGUGUUACAAUCUCCUUCUCAAGUUUCCACUGCGGGCAAGAGCGUGUCAUUACUGUGAUCUGAUUCGGAACAUUUCGCACAUGUCAGCUUCCCACGGCAUACCUGUGAACUGUGUCCGAAACGCUGGCAGUGGAAACAUCGUCUCGGAUUUGUGCCAGCGGGACGAUGAAUGCUGCAGUAACUAUUGCGACUACUACAUCCUCUCCAUGCAAAAUAAGAUUUGUCACUAAUGAC